GCCAAGAGGGCCCUCCUCUCGGCUGACGAUCGGCGCGGGGCUAUAACAGGGUCGGGGGGCCUCGGAGAGAGAGUUGCGGGCUGCCGUCUUCGGAGCGCAAACUAACUUUGCGCGGGCGAAUUGGGGGCAAUCGGCUUCUAGGCAUCAUGCAGUCUUGUGUCCAGUGGUGGGGGCGGCUGAUGGGUCGGGGGGCCAAUCUGCACGGACACCAUGGCAGCGCCUGGGGAGGCAAGAAGCCGCCAGGCCGAUGGGGACGCAGGGAGCAGCUGAGACUGGCUUGUGUGAGUAGAAGCAGUAGCACCAUUGGGGCGAGAGCCGCCCCCGCCGCCGCCGCCGCCGCCUCCGCCUCCGCCAGGCACAUCGAAAAACUCCUGGGCAGGCACGAUGACUUUUCCGAGCGACAUAUCGGACCAGGGGACAAAGAGAAGGAAGAGAUGCUGCAGACCGUCGGUCUGUCGAGUAUUGAUGAGUUGAUCAAUAGAACAAUUCCUGCCAACAUCCGUUUGCAACGGCCUCUGAAGAUGGACGACCAUAUAUGUAAAAUGAUAACUCUUGAUACUUUAUUCA